rnacentral:rRNA from 1 species
GGUUUAAUUCGAUGAUACGCGAGGAACCUUACCCGGGCUUAAAUUGCAACAGAAUAUAUUGGAAACAGUAUAGCCGUAAGGCUGUUGUGAAGGUGCUGCAUGGUUGUCGUCAGCUCGUGCCGUGAGGUGUCGGCUUAAGUGCCAUAACGAGCGCAACCCUUAUCUUUAGUUACUAACAGGUCAUGCUGAGGACUCUAGAGAGACUGCGUCGUAAGAUGUGA